rnacentral:rRNA from 1 species
CACGUAGGCGGUUGGCCAAGCAUCUUGUGAAAACCCUCGGCUCAACCGAGGAACUGCUGGAUGAACUGGCUAACUUGAGCUGCACAGGGGCGACUGGAACUCUAGGUGGAGCGGUGAAAUGCGUAGAUAUCUAGAGGAACGCCGGUGGUGAAAACGGGUCGCUGGGUGCAAUCUGACGCUGAGGUGCGAAAGCGUGGGGAGCGAACAGGAUUAGAUACCCUGGUAGUCC